AGUGAACGCUGGCGGUAGGCCUAACACAUGCAAGUCGAACGGCAGCACAGUAAGAGCUUGCUCUUACGGGUGGCGAGUGGCGUACGAGUGAGGAAUACAUCGGAAUCUACUUUUUCGUGGGGGAUAACGUAGGGAAACUUACGCUAAUACCGCAUACGACCUACGGGUGAAAGCAGGGGAUCUUCGGACCUUGCGCGAUUGAAUGAGCCGAUGUCGGAUUAGCUAGUUGGCGGGGUAAAGGCCCACCAAGGCGACGAUCCGUAGCUGGUCUGAGAGGAUGAUCAGCCACACUGGAACUGAGACACGGUCCAGACUCCUACGGGAGGCAGCAGUGGGGAAUAUUGGACAAUGGGCGCAAGCCUGAUCCAGCCAUACCGCGUGGGUGAAGAAGGCCUUCGGGUUGUAAAGCCCUUUUGUUGGGAAAGAAAAGCAGCAGGUUAAUACCCCGCUGUUCUGACGGUACCCAAAGAAUAAGCACCGGCUAACUUCGUG
rnacentral:rRNA from 1 species